GACACUGGGGGAGGCGACGACGCGCGGCCCACACACUGGCCGCCGGGACCGCGCCGAGCCACUGGCGAGACCGACCCGCAGGACU
rnacentral:ncRNA from 1 species